UACGGGGGGAGCAAGCGUUGUUCGGAUUUACUGGGCGUAAAGGGCGCGUAGGCGGCCAGCACAAGUCAGUUGUGAAAUCUCCGAGCUUAACUCGGAAAGGUCAACUGAUACUGUGCGGCUAGAGUGCGGAAGGGGCAACUGGAAUUCUCGGUGUAGCGGUGAAAUGCGUAGAUAUCGGGAGGAACACCAGUGGCGAAGGCGACUACCUGGCCUGUUCUUGACGCUGAGGCGCGAAAGCUAGGGGAGCAAACGGG
rnacentral:rRNA from 1 species